rnacentral:lncRNA from 1 species
UUUGGAGGCUCUGGUAUGCUCUGAUGGUAGGAGGAGAUGGUACAGGGAGGCCACAAAGACUGAUGCUCUUUGGUUCUCCAGUUGUCUUUCAGGAGGUGUAGCCUGGUUGUGGCCUGGGGAGUUUGGCUGUUCUGUGUGGUGUGCCUCCACGGUGUGGUCUCCAGUGAGCUGCUCAGCAGGUGUAGACCCGGGCAGGGCGAAGCUCUCUGGGCUGUUGACUGUGAGGCCCCUCCCCACCGGUAGAUUUCCAAGCCUCUUCAGUUUUGCAUUCAGCCACAGCAGGAUCCAAACUUCAGUGACCUGAGUACCUGUCACACCUAUUUGUUCUGAAUAGCCCCUUUGAACAGAGCCUUUCUUGACAGAGAAAAGGAGUAUUGGUAAACUCCUCCAGGGCAGGACCUGACUCUUCAGAGGAAUUUUUUAAUCCCCCUCCCCAGAAGUGCCCACGUCAAGGCCAUAGUAGAGAAGGAGCUCAAGAGCAAUCCCUAAGCAACCACGCUUGGAAGCAUCCUGCAACAGAGGGAUUUGUUCCAGACUCAGAUUUAAUCCACUAUUACCUUUUCGUAAGACAAGUGUUGUCUGAAGGAGUCUGUGUGUAAUUUUGAGACAAAAGGAUUGCAGAACUCAGCUCCCAGGUUGUCUCAUAUCUGAUUCUUCGAAAGAGGAAAAGAAGCGAACUCUUCUGCACAAUAGCUGAGCAGAUAGGAGAGAAAAAGCUUGAAGAUUCACAGUGGAGCAAGGCUAAUUGGAGCCUUCCUCAGAGCAGCUCAACUAUCCCAGUUUUACCUAUCCCAUUCCUUGCCAUUCCCACUUGUAAUUCUGUCUUGGCAAGAACACCAUACUGAAGGUUCUUAAAGCAGUUUGUAGACUUUAAUUAGUUCUGUGGAAAGUCAGUCAAAGCUCAGCCUUCAUUCUGCCAACAGAGACAACAGUGGUGGGUGUGGAAGGAAGGCAAGAAGAAGAUGGACACCCAGAGCAGUUGUGCAACUUACUGAAGGCCAUGUGGAUAGGAGGAACUGGGUUUAAAACCCCUGAGUCUUGAUAAAAGUGUCUUAGCCUUCUAGAUUCCUAAACAGGUAGUGGGCUCAUCCUACUAACCUACUUUGCUAGGGUGUUGUUGAUGAAUGCUUAUAAACCCUGUCCUAGAUGAUAGGUUUGGAAGAUUGUUAAAGAAAGCAUGUCAUUAAGUCCCUACUCACCCCCUCCUUGACAAAUAGCCCUGGAGGGAAAUGAAUAUUAGCCAGAAUCGUAGGGCCUCCACUUCAAUGGAAUGAACUGAGAUUCAACAACAAGAGAAAUGUUCCAACAGUGAGGGAAAUCAACAAUGUGCUGGGGGUGAAGGGUAGGGGUUGGGAAGGCCUAAACAGGUGACCAUUGCCAGACAGCCCAGACAAGAUCAUCACAGAAUAGCUGAUUCCCAUUAGACACUGUGGGUGAUCAUUAUCUUAAAAUUCAGGACACUAUUUUUGUAGUAGUUUCCCUUCCUCUCUUUGUAAGAGCAGAAGACCUCUCUGGGGCCUAUCACAAGACAAGCGGGUGUUUGCAAAUGAGGGACGUACUUUGAGACUGAAUUGCUCUGUGCUUCUCUAAAAGACAUGGUUAAGAGUUUGGGCGCUGAUGUUAGAGACUGAGAUUAAAAUCCUUCCUUGCCACUUCCAUCAGUAUAAAUUUGGAUAAGUUUCUUAACUUCUCUAAGCCUUGAUUUUCUCACCUAUAAAAUGGGCCUAAUAAUAGUGCCUAACUUAGAGGUUUGUUGUAAAGGUUAAAUGCAAUUAUUCAGGUAAAGCCUUAAUGGAGCCUGAUAUGUAGUAAGCACUCAAUCCAUUUUAUCUACUGACUCUUUUCUCUGUGUGGGUUACCCACUUUGGAGAUUGUCCCCAGUAAUUUCUUUGGUCAAGUCUUGAUCUCCCUGGCCCCUUGGCUGUCUUCUCCCACCAUGAUCAGUGAGAAGUUGAGGAGCACUAAUACCAAAUUCUUUUUCAUGUUAGUUAGGAGAAAGCAGAAUUACGAAGGUCAACCUGCUGGUGUAAAAAAAUAUUACAUAGAUUAGCCCUGCUCUACAUAUUAGAUAUGUUCUCAAAAUGCCUAAGUGGCCUUUUUUUUUUUUUUUAAUUUAAGUUCUAGGGUACAUGUGCACAACGUGCAGGUUUGUUACAUGUGUAUACAUGUGCCAUGUUGGUGUGUGGCACCCAUUAACUUGUCAUUUACAUUAGGUAUAUCUCCUAAUGCUAUCCCUCCCACCCCCACCCCCUGGCAGGCCCUGGUGUGUGAUGUUCCCCACCCUGUGUCCAUGUGUUCUCGUUGUUCAAUUCCCACCUAUGAGUGAGAACACACGUGUUUGGGUUUUUGUCCUUGCGAUACUUUGCCAAGAAUGAUGGUUUCCAGCUUCAUCCAUGUCCCUACAAAGGACAUGAACUCAUCAUUUUUAUGGCUGCAUAGUAUUCCAUGGUGUAUAUGUGCCACAUUUUCUUAAUCCAGUCUAUCAUUGAUGGACAUUUGGGUUGGUUCCAAGUCUUUGCUAUUAUGAAUAGUGCCACAAUAAACGUAUGUGUACCUGUGUCUUUAUAACAGCAUGAUUUAUAAUCCUUUGGGUAUGUGCCCAGUAAUGGGAUGGCUGGGUCAAAUGGUAUUUCUAGUUCUAGAUCCUUGAGGAAUUGCCUAAGUGGCCAUGUUUAUAUUGGGUAAUCUUUAAAUGACUUUAUUUGCAAGUCUGAGUAAUAUACUCAUAGAAACAAGAAUCACAGUUAAGGGAAGGGAAACUAAUAUUUGAGCUUGAGACACUUUCCAUAUCCAAGUCCAAUUGAAUCCUCCCAAUCACCCAAUAAAGAGAUCUUAUUAUUCCCAUUUUAUAUGUUAAACAACCAAAACUCAGAGAGGUUAAUUAAUACUCUCAAAAUCACUCUUCUAGGGGUGGUGGAGCCUAAGUUUGAAUGCAGCUCUGGCUCCCAAACCUGUCCAUUUUCUACUAUGUCAUGCUCAAAGGCAUAUUCUGCUUUUGUCCAUUGUCAGCCUAUGUGCAUUUAAGUUUCCCACACAAAUUCAAGAAGAAUUUUAUCCAUCAAUUCACAUGACCUUGAGUAUUAAUUUAGUUUAAAAAUCUUUCCCCUUAUGAUUUAAAAAAUAUUCACUUUAAGAAAUUAUCUGCCAUGUGCAGGAUUAUCAUAGGAUUAAAAAAAAAAAAGAAAUUAGCAGCCGGUUGUGGUGGUUCAUGCCUGUAAUCCCAGCACUUUGGGAGACUGAGGUGGGAGCAUUGCUUGAGGCCAGGAGUUCAAGACCAGCCUGGGUAGCAUAGUGAGACUCUGCCUCUACAAAAAAUUAAAAAUUAGCCAAGCAUGGUGACACACGCCUGUAGUCCCAGCUACUCAGGAGGCUGAGGCAAGAAGAUUACUUGAGCCCAGAAGGUUGAGGCUGCAGUGAGCUAUGACCACUACAUUCCAAUCUGGGUGAGGGGUGAGAGAAGAAAGAAAGAUAAAGAAGGAAAGAAAGAAAGUAAGAAAGAGAAGGAAAAAGGAGAAGGA